rnacentral:lncRNA from 1 species
GAGUCCAAUAUACCCCAUUUACACGUACUUACAAACAUAUGAUAUACUAUACGAAGGUCAUAAGUUAAUAAGUCAAACGAAAGGCUAUUAGAUUAUGAAAAGGGCUCUUACCGGAGGAAAGAAACCGAACUUGGGAAGUGGGAUUGGUGGGAUUUUCGCGAAAAACUUGAAGAAGAGGCAGAGGACAUAAAAUUCUGGUCUUGACAAAAGAAGAAGAUGAAUUUUUUGGAAGACGUCUGAGACUAAUAAGUAGCUGGAGCUGGCAGUUGAAGGCUGGCUUGGGAUUAAAUGAAGUCAUACUUAGGUGGGAACAGUAAUUACGGCAAUUACCGCUCAAUUUAUUUAUGGCCACUCUCACCAUAUCAUCACUGCUCACUCAUUCAAACUAAUCGCGCCACAGGUUCAGAUGAACAACCAGCUGAAAUUUUGGUUCACAUUUCUUUAAGAACUGUUCACACUACUUCUAGUUGAUAUUGUAGAUUACAACACAUCAGUAAUAUUUUGGGUAGGUUUGGUUGGAAGCUUUGAUGGAUAUGCUGGUUGAGAGUUUGAGAAGAGACAAUAAACGAAUUGCAUAAAUGUCGUAAAACACAGGCGGGCUCUUUGAAAACUUUUAUUCAUUUGUUUAUUUGAAUAUAAUAUUAUUCAUAAGAUAUGCAGGGGAUACGAAAAGGUUAAUAGAUAUUUCUUAAUUAGUUAUUAAAUUUUUGUAUGAUUAAAAACCUAAAAAUAUAUAUCUAUGUUUAAUUAACUACCAGAUAUGCAAAAAUAUUUUUUCUCCAUAAACAAAUAUUAAGUUUCUGACAGCAUUAAUUAAGUAACAAGUAAAAUAACACUAAAUAAAGCUAAUAAAUAUGGAUAAAAUAGAAAGUGUAUUUAUAAAUAAAAAUACAGUUUGAUAGAAUAGAAAGGAAAAUAAUAACAAAAAAUAAUUCAAAUUUAUCAAAAUGGACUAAGUUGCUAGGAGAGAGAGAGAUUGUGAGAAAUUUUGAUUAGAGAAGAGUUGGAUGUGAAUAUGGAUAAAAUCCAAAUAUCUAAAUGACCCACCAAUUCUCUUCAAUUAGCAUCCUGCCUAGGAAAGAGAAAAUGAAUAAUUAAAUUAACAAAAUAUAGAUUCAUUAUUACUUCAGAAUUCUACAAAUUUAUGUAAAAAAUACAAUAAUUGAGCUGAACAGGAAAGAAUCAACUGCAGAGGCCCCUUGUGCGAGUGUCUAGCCUCUUUCUUGAAGCAGAGCGUUCUUAAGACGUAUAAUUGCAACUAGGACGGGUUGAGUUUGUGGCUUACUUAUGAUUUGCACAUUCAACUGUGAUCAGCAUUUUUCAGAUAAACAUAAUAAUCUUAGCAUUGAAAUACCUCACACGAUUAAUUUGAAGUACAUUAUUCAUAUCAGCUAAAAACUAGUAACAAAAUUUAAUAGCUUUUUUUUUUUUUGGAAUAAAAAGUCUUUAAAAUGCCUCGAUGAAGGAGAGGAUUUUAGUGAACGGAAACAGAUUAGGCGUACCCAAGUCCUUUUUUUAUUUUAUAGAAUGAAAGAAAAAUCUAUUGAUAUUCAACUAAUUCGGAAGCAAUAUGAAACAAAUUGCUAAUAUAAGGUAUAAAAAUGCUAAAUUUGAUAACUUAAAGCAGAAAUCAGAAUUGCUAAAAUUGACAAUUUAUAAAUGCUGAUAAAGGGCUUCGACGCCUCUAUUUCUGUUGCAUAUAUGGCAUCCCAUAAAGAUGUUCUUUUUAUUUUUUUUUUCCAGGGUCUCCUACGCUAGGAGGAGGGGGCGGACUUAAGAAAGUCCAGAAUAACUCGGAAGAAACUGAAUCACCACCGGACCAAAUGGAUGCACUGCGCACCAGUCUAAACUUUUUGAUUAAAAUCACUUUUUAAUGUGGCAAUUGAUGGGCGUUUAGGAUUCCAAUAAGAUUUAAUGAUUUAGUGGUGGCGAACAGCCCAAAGCUGGUGGUUCCAUAAAGAGGUUCAUGUGAAGGCGAAUUAUAUAUAUAUAUAUUUUUUUUCAUCACAGUGUGAAGGCGAAUUAUAUAUGGGUCGUAACUUACUCGUUACUACUAUUACAAGGCGCGGAAGUUUUGUAAUUUUGUUGUACGUAUGGCACGGAUGACGCGAUUAUAAGGGCUUAAGAGUUAACGCCUUCUCGUUUGUUGAAAAAAAAAAAAAAGAGUUAACGCCUUCUGAUAUUAAAGCGUGGUGCUAGAAGUAAAGGUGGGUACCUUCCGGUUGACGACUUGGUUUGGUGGAAGAAUCGUGCUCUCCAGUGGAAAAUGUUAAAGGAGCCUCUGUUCAUCCAUUAGAGUUAGAAUUGGAUGAGAUCCUGUAAUGCUUCAGUUUGGCAUUUUAGAGUUCAAUGAAAGACGAGAAUUUCUUAGCCAGCAAGGUUUCAAAUCAACUCGAAACGAGCUCUAAAGGGACGUUAAUCUAUAGUUUGUCUGCUGGUAAAAAGAGCCGGCCUCCAAGUUGUAACAAACAACACAAAUGUUUACUGCAAAAAGAUCUGCACUUUCACGCUUAGACCGACCUUAUUCUGUUUACAGUUCACAAGCACACAACUCGUAGACUUCUUGUGGUACAGAAUUCAGAGUCAACAUUGUAUCAACCAACGAAACCUGACAAUCUUUACUUGGACAUGGACUGAACAGAGGGAGGAUUUGUUGCAUGUGGAUAUCCAUACUUCAUUCCUUGUUGUCGAGCGAGGAUUCUAUUCCAGCCUGCAAAGCAAUUUCCCAGGUUGUUACCACCACGAUAUUGAGUAGCUAAAUGAACUAAAGAGUUUGGUGAGUUGUGACUAGUGUCCAUGCUAUGCUGAGUUUACCAAUGCUCAGAAUAUAUUCUCAUAAAUCGAAAGUAGAAGUACCUAAAGCAGGAUCAAGAUCCCUGUUCCUGAGCUCUCGAAAUUCCUGACAAAGUGAACAAUAGGAGCAAAAGAUGUGAGAAAAUACAUCUUGAUAAGGGGCUUCAACUAGACCAUAUCUGGUUCUCAGUUUUGUUCUAUAUUUGGAACCCAUGAUCCAUUGAGAGCAGAGAGCAGGCAUCAUCAAGAGGUAAAUGAAAGUGCCCACAGGACUAGCUGCAACCAUCAAUCAAACAUGAAUCAGCUUGAGCUUAGUUUGGUGAAAUUUUAAAGACUCAGUCAAAUCAGAACCCAAGAACAGAGGCCAUACUCAGUUCUCCGGCAUCUAGGACUUCUGCUAUCUGACCAAAUGUCACGCAGGGGCAGCAUACAGUCAUACCGGCUGCCAAAUAAUAUCAGAUCAUUUUUAAAGUGAGGAAGGAGAAAUAUGUAAAGAUCAGAUCUAGAGUUGAUCAUCAUUCAUCAAAGAAGCAACAGACAGAGAAAUCACGAAUUACAAAUUUAUGAUAGUGUUUCUGACUGUUAGUCAUCAACGUUCUUUUCAGUAAAAUAAUCAACCAGCUUCAAUUUUCGGAACCGUCCACCAAGAAAUAUUUGUCCAGAAACCACAAUUCAUGCAAUCUUCAUCCUAAUUGAACUUCUUUCUGUGCAUAUUGUAGUUUGUUAAGAAAUUGAAAUUCCCGUGGUGAAAUACCUUUCCAGAGUGAUUCAAAGGACUUUAUUUCGCAUGUUCCCAUAAGCCUUGGUUUCUAACAGGCCACAACCCCAUCCCCAACCAUCGCUUGCCCUCUCCAUCGUUACCGUCCAAUUCUUCACCGCCAAAAUAUAUAUAUAUAUAUAUAGUUUAUUCAUUCCAUUCUAAACACGAAGUCCAAAUGUCUUGAGCUUCUGGACAAUGAUAUAUCUGGUUUUGAGAUUGACUCUAAUCUGGUUUAUCUUCAGUUACUAAGAACAACUGGAGAGAACAAACAAGAAAGAGCGAUUACCAUUUGUUUUGUCUUCAUGGCAGUCGAACAAGCCUGUACUCCAUGGGCUUCCUACGAAAGUAGGCGGUGCCAGCGACACUCCUCCUCCUUGUGCUACUGGAGGAAAUGAGACCACUGCUUCUCCUCCCUGUUUUGGAUCAGUUUCUACUGCUACAUCUGUGGCUUCCACUUUAAAUUUUAAAGUCACGAUCAUUGUUAAGGAUGCUUUAUAUCUUUCUCGUUCUGCUCACCACAAAACGAGAAAUAUGCUGGAAGUAGAUGGCAUGCCAACUGCUUUCAUAUAUUUAUCAUACGCUCUUUAGUAGUAGUAUGUGCCAAUGCCUAUCUUCUUGAUUUUUUUUAUUUUUAUUUUUUCAUUUUUUGGAUGGCGGCCUUCUUCAUUCGGAGCAAGUCGUCGAAAAGUCAAUGUGAUGCACAAUAAUAUCUUUCACGAUAGAUAGAUUAUAGAAUAUGGAGCUAGAAAGUAAUGGGUAAGUAGCUGAAAAAUAUACAAUUUCUGACUGGAAGUUCAGUCCAAGUUUCCUAUCAAAUCCAGCCAGUUGCACCAGCGACAAAGCAAAUAAAACUUGGAAUUUCCCCGUUUUCUAGAAGCUGGGUUUAUGGCGGGCAUUGCCGUCUUAAUUACUGGAAUAUUAAGCAAAAAAUUACCAUGCCCGACUUUCCAAUAGAAUUAUUUUUCUUCGUCAGAUACAAGUACAAAAGUUUUCAGCAAGCAGUCAAGGAAGUGAAACUGGGACUGUUAUGAAGUGAAAUCAAAAGAAGAAUCCUUCUGUUCUGAACGUAGUAGUAAUCGCCCCCAUUAAUUGAUGCAGUCAUUAUUCCGAACAAUUUCUAACUGCUGCAAAUACAGCAUCUAAUCUAAUAACGAUACAAGGUUAUGCUAACUCUAAAAUAGUUGCUAAAAAUUGCAGCAGAGAGGCCUUGCUAUUUGCUCACAGAACGUACCAGGCACUAUACGAGAGUAUUGCAGGGUCACGCCAUUAAGUGAAGUGUAUGCUUCGGAUUGUUCUCUCUCCCGAAUGUCCUCUAGCCAUACACCUCCGCAGAAUAACAGUGAAAUGACCACAAAAUAAGAAUAAAUUCUACAUAUUUUAACCAGCAUUUGAUCAGUAAUUGCUCAAAUUUCUCUUGAAGCUAAUGUCCCAUAAUUAUAGAACCCUUGUAACUCAGGAUCCAUAGCUUCAUAACCUUGUAUUAAUCGUGUAUACAUAGUUGGAACCUGCAUCAUGCAAAGGGAAAACAUGAACUACACCAUUAAAAUGACAAAAGCUCUCCGGAAAUUACAGGUAUAUUGAAUGACUUCAAACAGGUAUAAUUAUUGUUGCCUCAUGAGGAACCAUCCUGAGAAUAUAAGUAAAUAACGUGGUUAUUUAUAACCACCUAGAGACAUAGAAUUAUGACAUUACAUAAGCAGCAUAUUUCUCACUUCCCCCUGUAAAUACAGUUAUAGCAUCAUCAACUUUUGUCUCUUUUCUUGGAUAUGAUUCCCGCCAUCCCUGCCAAAUUCCCCCAACGCUAAAUUUUGGCAUGAACUCCACCUUUAAAAAAAAAAAAGGGACAAGCAAUAUCACAAGUGCUGCAACAAGACAUUAUUGAUUCUUUGGCAGGAAAGUUAUAGCAUAAAUUUGCAGUAUAAUUUCCGUUACAACUUUGAACAUGUGGAAAUAUAUAAGAACUUACCACAGAACCAGCGUAUAGAGGAGCAAGCAAAGCAUUGAAAAGGCCGUGCACAUGUUGGUAGAAGUUAAGGCUAGACAUAUAACCAACAUUUCAUCGAACUUAUACAGCAUAUCAACCCAGCAAAUAGGAGAAGAGAUGGGAAAAGCAAAUAGGUGAGUACUCCCAAGCAUUUGCCAACAUUUGAACCUGAAAUUAAGCAAACCAUCGUAAUGAUUAUUUCAAGGUGAAACAGAAGUGCAAUGAAAAGGAAAUACGCUUCAGUCAAAACCUAACAGUUCCAACUUCCAAAAAGCACACUUUAGAAAGAAAGAGUUGACAGCAAGCAUUUUGCAUUAUGCAAGUAAAAUUGACAACAUAUUGCUCUGCCUUGUACGUGAAAGAAGAGCAUUGCAUGGCAAUCAAUUUUUGUUGUCUUAUUAUAACGCAUAUUCACCAUACAAGCACAUCUUACCCUGCCAAAAGUCUGACAUUUUCCAGAUUAAGGAAAGGUCUAGAGUAAUUGGAAAAACUAAAAGAACAUUUUCCCAUUUCAUUUUGUUUUAGACCAAGUACACACAAUAUAAAUGACAGGCAAGUAAUAAAAAUACCUGAGCCAAGAUGCUUCUGUGUGCAUGAACAACUCCUUUUGGUUUACCUGUUGUGCCGCUAGUGUACAGUAUUAAUGCCGGUUUCUCAUCUACAUUUGGACAUGAAAGUCAGCAAAGAGAAUACUGUAAUUUGAGCAUUUAAACUUGUCGUAAACAUACACAAAACCAAAGGCAAACACCUUCGAUCUCACUAAAGUUUUCUAUUCCCUGUACCCGCUCAAUAACAUUCAGCUCUCCGUUAUGUGACUGAUCAAGCUCAGUUGAUGUGCUAACAACAGGAGGAAGAAGAGAAAAGUGAGCUGCAGUUUUAGCUGCAACAUCUUUCAAGAGUUCCAGGCAGUUUCAGAGAGACCAUUGUCAUGAAAUACCAAUACCAUCAAAGAGGAAAAAAAUUACUUUCUCCUACUUAAGCAAAACUAGUCCAAAGCCCCCAAAAAUUUCAAAACUUGAUUCACCAAUACCGGAACUUAUGUAUUCCAUAAGUUCCUUACCGCUCCUGCUUUGGCUUGAUAAUCAAAUAUUCCUUCUUCAAUUCCUAACCGUCCCCAUUCCCCUUUCCUGUUUCUCCUUCCACACCUCCCCUUUUUGAUAUACAACUGAUAUUGUAACAGGAUAACAAAAGCAGAGUCCAAUAUACCCCAUUUACACGUACUUACAAACAUAUGAUAUACAAUACGAAGGUCAUAAGUUAAUAAGUCAAACGAAAGGCUAUUAGAUUAUGAAAAGGGCUCUUACCGGAGGAAAGAAACCGAACUUGGGAAGUGGGAUUGGUGGGAUUUUCGCGAAAAACUUGAAGAAGAGGCAGAGGACAUAAAAUUCUGGUCUUGACAAAAGAAGAAGAU